GGGUGAUAAACACGGGGGAAAUCUACCUAGGAGGGGGGGGAUAACAUUGGGAAACGGAUGCUAUUACCGCAUAUUUUUUUGAACCGCAUGGUUCUUAAACGAAAGACGGCUUCGGCUGUCGCUCUUAGAUGAUCCCGCGGCGUAUUAGUUAGUUGGUGGGGUAAAGGCCUACCAAGACCAUGAUACGUAGCCGACCUGAGAGGGUGAUCGGCCACACUGGGAGUGAGACACGGCCCAGACUCCUACGGGAGGCAGCAGUAGGGAAUCUUCCACAAUGGGUGAAAACCUGAUGGAGCAAUGCCGCGUGAAUGAAGAAGGUCUUCGGAUCGUAAAGUUCUGUUAUUAGAGAAGAACAAAUCGAGGAGUAACUGUCUCGAUUUUGACGGUACCUAACCAGAAAGUCACGGCUAACUACGUGCCAGCAGCCGCGGUAAUACGUAGGUGACGAGCGUUGUCCGGAAUUAUUGGGCGUAAAGGGAGCGCAGGCGGUUGGAAUAGUCUGAUGUGAAAGCCCACGGCUUAACCGUGGAAGGUCAUUGGAAACUGUCCAACUUGAAUGCAGAAGAGGUAAGUGGAAUUCCAAGUGUAGCGGUGAAAUGCGUAGAUAUUUGGAGGAACACCAGUGGCGAAGGCGACUUACUGGUCUGUAAUUGACGCUGAGGCUCGAAAGCGUGGGUAGCAAACAGGAUUAGAUACCCUGGUAGUCCACGCCGUAAACGAUGAGUGCUAAGUGUUGGGAGGUUUCCGCCUCUCAGUGCUGGAGUUAACGCAUNAAGCACUCCG
rnacentral:rRNA from 1 species